CGCGUAGGCGGCAAGGCAAGUCAGAUGUGAAAUCCCCGGGCUCAACCUGGGAAUUGCAUCUGAAACUGCAGUGCUUGAGUCCUGGAGGGGAUAGUGGAAUUCUCAGUGUAGCGGUGAAAUGCGUAGAUAUUGGGAGGAACACCUGCGGCGAAGGCGGCUAUCUGGACAGUGACUGACGCUGAUGCGCGAAAGCCAGGGGAGCGAACGG
rnacentral:rRNA from 1 species